rnacentral:rRNA from 1 species
CUGCUUCUACUUUCUGUAUGGAGCUGGGAGCGUCUGCCUGUUGGACGCUCGAAGAGCGUCAGGUUUGAUCCUUGGUAUGCAGAUGAACAUGACAUUACGGAGCCCCACGUGGCUUACAAGUGGGAUAUCGUUUCCGAGAUGACGAACGAUGUCAAUCUCAUGUACCAAAAGUACAUUGCCGAGUUGGACACGAUUACGCCUGAGCAGGUAAGGAGAUCAUUACUUCAGUCCUUUCUCAUGCUUGCUUGA